rnacentral:tRNA from 1 species
GGGAAUGUAGCUCAGUGGUAGAGCACUUGCAUGGCAUGUGCAAGGGCCUGAGUUCAAUCCUCAGCAUCA